ACGGGAGGCAGCAGUGGGGAAUAUUGCACAAUGGGGGAAACCCUGAUGCAGCGACGCCGCGUGAGUGAAGAAGUAUUUCGGUAUGUAAAGCUCUAUCAGUAGGGAAGAAAAUGACGGUACCUAACUAAGAAGCCCCGGCUAACUACGUGCCAGCAGCCGCGGUAAUACGUAGGGGGCAAGCGUUAUCCGGAUUUACUGGGUGUAAAGGGAGCGUAGACGGCAAAGCAAGUCUGAUGUGAAAUGCGGGGGCUCAACCCCUGAACUGCAUUGGAAACUGUUUAGCUAGAGUGCAGGAGAGGUAAGUGGAAUUCCUAGUGUAGCGGUGAAAUGCGUAGAUAUUAGGAGGAACACCGGUGGCGAAGGCGGCUUACUGGACUGUAACUGACGUUGAGGCUCGAAAGCGUGGGUAUCGAACAGGAUUAGAUACCCUGGUA
rnacentral:rRNA from 1 species